GGGGCUAAACCAUGCACCGAAGCUGCGGCAGCGACGCUGAUGCGUUGUUGGGUAGGGGAGCGUUCUGUAAGCCUGCGAAGGUGGCCUGUGAGGGUUGCUGGAGGUAUCAGAAGUGCGAAUGCUGACAUAAGUAACGAUAAAGCGGGUGAAAAGCCCGCUCGCCGGAAGACCAAGGGUUCCUGUCCAACGUUAAUCGGGGCAGGGUGAGUCGACCCCUAAGGCGAGGCCGAAAGGCGUAGUCGAUGGGAAACGGGUUAAUAUUCCCGUACUUGGUGUUACUGCGAAGGGGGGACGGAGAAGGCUAUGUUGGCCGGGCGACGGUUGUCCCGGUUUAAGCGUGUAGGUGUGUGUUCCAGGUAAAUCCGGUUCACUUUAACACUGAGGCGUGAUGACGAGGCACUACGGUGCUGAAGCAACAAAUGCCCUGCUUCCAGGAAAAGCCUCUAAGCAUCAGGUAACAUCAAAUCGUACCCCAAACCGACACAGGUGGUCAGGUAGAGAAUACCAAGGCGCUUGAGAGAACUCGGGUGAAGGAACUAGGCAAAAUGGUGCCGUAACUUCGGGAGAAGGCACGCUGACACGUAGGUGAAGUGAUUUACUCAUGGAGCUGAAGUCAGUCGAAGAUACCAGCUGGCUGCAACUGUUUAUUAAAAACACAGCACUGUGCAAACACGAAAGUGGACGUAUACGGUGUGACGCCUGCCCGGUGCCGGAAGGUUAAUUGAUGGGGUCAGCGCAAGCGAAGCUCCUGAUCGAAGCCCCGGUAAACGGCGGCCGUAACUAUAACGGUCCUAAGGUAGCGAAAUUCCUUGUCGGGUAAGUUCCGACCUGCACGAAUGGCGUAAUGAUGGCCAGGCUGUCUCCACCCGAGACUCAGUGAAAUUGAACUCGCUGUGAAGAUGCAGUGUACCCGCGGCAAGACGGAAAGACCCCGUGAACCUUUACUAUAGCUUGACACUGAACAUUGAGCCUUGAUGUGUAGGAUAGGUGGGAGGCUUUGAAGUGUGGACGCCAGUCUGCAUGGAGCCGGCCUUGAAAUACCACCCUUUAAUGUUUGAUGUUCUAACGUGGACCCGUGAUCCGGGUUGCGGACAGUGUCUGGUGGGUAGUUUGACUGGGGCGGUCUCCUCCUAAAGAGUAACGGAGGAGCACGAAGGUUGGCUAAUCCUGGUCGGACAUCAGGAGGUUAGUGCAAUGGCAUAAGCCAGCUUGACUGCGAGCGUGACGGCGCGAGCAGGUGCGAAAGCAGGUCAUAGUGAUCCGGUGGUUCUGAAUGGAAGGGCCAUCGCUCAACGGAUAAAAGGUACUCCGGGGAUAACAGGCUGAUACCGCCCAAGAGUUCAUAUCGACGGCGGUGUUUGGCACCUCGAUGUCGGCUCAUCACAUCCUGGGGCUGAAGUAGGUCCCAAGGGUAUGGCUGUUCGCCAUUUAAAGUGGUACGCGAGCUGGGUUUAGAACGUCGUGAGACAGUUCGGUCCCUAUCUGCCGUGGGCGCUGGAGAACUGAGGGGGGCUGCUCCUAGUACGAGAGGACCGGAGUGGACGCAUCACUGGUGUUCGGGUUGUCAUGCCAAUGGCACUGCCCGGUAGCUAAAUGCGGAAGAGAUAAGUGCUGAAAGCAUCUAAGCACGAAACUUGCCCCGAGAUGAGUUCUCCCUGAGACUUAGAGUCUCCUGAAGGAACGUUGAAGACGACGACGUUGAUAGGCCGGGUGUGUAAGCGCAGCGAUGCGUUGAGCUAACCGGUACUAAUGAACCGUGAGGCUUAACCUUACA
rnacentral:rRNA from 1 species